ensembl:miRNA
GAGGUGGGGAGAAUGGCUGAGCCUGGGAGGUCGAGGCUGCAGUGAGCUGUGAUCAUACCACUGCACUCCAGCCUGGGUGACAGAGUAAGACCCUGUCUC